GACGUAGGGCGCGAGCGUUUGUCCGGAAUUACUGGGCGUAAAGGGCGCGUAGGCGGCCUGCUAAGUCGAACGUGAAAUCCCCGGGCUCAACCCGGGAACUGCGUCCGAUACUGGUUGGCUUGAAUUCGGGAGAGGGAUGCGGAAUUCCAGGUGUAGCGGUGAAAUGCGUAGAUAUCGGGAGGAACACCAGUGGCGAAGGCGGCGAUCUGGGAAGAUACUGACGCUGAGGUGCGAAAGCGUGGGGAGCAAACAGG
rnacentral:rRNA from 1 species